rnacentral:rRNA from 1 species
ACGUGUGGUCCUAGCGUUGUCCGGAAUAACUGGGCGUAAAGGGUGUGUAGGCGGAUAUCCGUGUCAGGUGUGAAAUCCCCCGGCUUAACUGGGGCAUUGCGCUUGAAACUGGAUAUCUGGAGCGUGUCAGGGGUAAGCGGAAUUCCCGGAGUAGCGGUGAAAUGCGUAGAUAUCGGGAAGAACACCGGUGGCGAAGGCGGCUUACUGGGACAUGGCUGACGCUGAGGCACGAAAGCGUGGGGAGCGAACGG